GUGGGUAGAGCUCAGCAGUAGGGCACAUGCUUAGCAUGCAUGAUGUCCUGGGUUCAAUCCCCAGUACCUCUA
rnacentral:tRNA from 1 species